rnacentral:rRNA from 1 species
UGGGGAAUAUUGCACAAUGGGCGAAAGCCUGAUGCAGCCAUGCCGCGUGUAUGAAGAAGGCCUUCGGGUUGUAAAGUACUUUCAGCAGUGAGGAAGGUGGUGUACUUAAUACGUGCAUCAUUUGACGUUAGCUGCAGAAGAAGCACCGGCUAACUCCGUGCCAGCAGCCGCGGUAAUACGGAGGGUGCGAGCGUUAAUCGGAAUUACUGGGCGUAAAGCGCAUGCAGGUGGUUUGUUAAGUCAGAUGUGAAAGCCCGGGGCUCAACCUCGGAACUGCAUUUGAAACUGGCAGACUAGAGUACUGUAGAGGGGGGUAGAAUUUCAGGUGUAGCGGUGAAAUGCGUAGAGAUCUGAAGGAAUACCGGUGGCGAAGGCGGCCCCCUGGACAGAUACUGACACUCAGAUGCGAAAGCGUGGGGAGCAAACAGGAUUAGAUACCCCCGUAGUCC